GAAUAGCUCCAUAGUUUACUUCCCACCCAAAUAUUCCUUCAACUAUAAUUAUGGCAUGUAUUCAUAUUUUCUAUUCCAUAGGGCUCUACCCUCUAACCUACUCCUGGAGAAAACUCUGGAUGCACAGUAAGACUCAUGGACCACCCUGAAAGAGAGAGACAAGGCUAAACCAAAAGGCAACACGCAAUAGCCUCAUCCAACAGAGAAACUCCAUCCCACACCCAAACUAUCCAGUCUGCUAUAAUAAGGAGAGAAAUGGUUAUGCGAUUAAGGAGAGAAAUGGUUUCUGAUCAGCAUAGGUUCUAACUACCAGAGACACUUGGAACAGUAACCAGUGAACUGAAGCAAUGUUGGGCUGUGUGAUGCAAAAGAAAAGAAGCUGUGACUGCUGGUUUUAAUUAUCAGGAAUCCUCAAGGGGACGUGGGAGAAUCUCUUGGGCCGAGGAGUUGGACAACAGCCUGGACAACACAGGGAGAUCCCAUCUCAAACAAAGCAACCCUUGCAAAAACCUCAGGGGUCAAAUCAGUCUGACGAUUCUUGAAGGGAAGUCUUCAAGAUACCAGGUGUGGGGGAAUUUCCCUUGCUCUUCUUUGGUAAGAUUUAAUAAGU
rnacentral:lncRNA from 1 species